UACGGGGGGGGCAAGCGUUGUUCGGAAUUACUGGGCGUAAAGGGCGCGUAGGCGGCGUGUUAAGUCACUUGUGAAAUCUCUGAGCUUAACUCAGAACGGUCAAGUGAUACUGAUGUGCUAGAGUGCAGAAGGGGCAACCGGAAUUCUUGGUGUAGCGGUGAAAUGCGUAGAUAUCAAGAGGAACACCUGAGGUGAAGACGGGUUGCUGGGCUGACACUGACGCUGAGGCGCGAAAGCGUGGGGAGCAAACAGG
rnacentral:rRNA from 1 species